CUACCCAUAGUGCAGGGUUCCUACAUGCUUAAACCUGGGAGGGAAUUGACGGCCGACUCCGGGAUGGAACGCAAGGGCCUAUUGAAUGGGGAUUGACCCUCCUGUGUGAAUAAGCACCGGGUAACUCCGCGCCAGCAACCGUGGUAAUACGGAGGGUGCAAGCGUUGUCCGGAUUUAUUGGGUUUAAAGGGUGCGCAGGUGGUUUAUUAAGUCAGUGGUGAAAGACGGUCGCUCAACGAUUGCACUGCCAUUGAUACUGGUAGACUUGAGUAAAGUAGAGGUGGGCGGAAUUGAUAGUGUACCGGUGAAAUGCAUAGAUAUUAUCAAGAACUCCAAUUGCGUAGGCAGCUCACUUGGCUUCCACUGACACUCAUGCACGAAAGUGUGGGUAUCAAACAGGAUUACAUACCCUGGUAGUCCACACUGUCAACGAUGAUAACUAGGUGUCGGCUUAACGCAGUCGGUGCCACAGCCAAAGCGUUAAGUUAUCCACCUGGGGAGUACGCCCGCCACGGUGACACUCAAA
rnacentral:rRNA from 1 species